rnacentral:rRNA from 1 species
AUUGAACGCUGGCGGCAGGCCUAACACAUGCAAGUCGAGCGGAUGAAGGGAGCUUGCUCCUGGAUUCAGCGGCGGACGGGUGAGUAAUGCCUAGGAAUCUGCCUGGUAGUGGGGGAUAACGUCCGGAAACGGGCGCUAAUACCGCAUACGUCCCGAGGGAGAAAGUGGGGGAUCUUCGGACCUCACGCUAUCAGAUGAGCCUAGGUCGGAUUAGCUAGUUGGUGGGGUAAAGGCCUACCAAGGCGACGAUCCGUAACUGGUCUGAGAGGAUGAUCAGUCACACUGGAACUGAGACACGGUCCAGACUCCUACGGGAGGCAGCAGUGGGGAAUAUUGGACAAUGGGCGAAAGCCUGAUCCAGCCAUGCCGCGUGUGUGAAGAAGGUCUUCGGAUUGUAAAGCACUUUAAGUUGGGAGGAAGGGCAGUAAGUUAAUGCCUUGCUGUUUUGACGUUACCAACAGAAUAAGCACCGGCUAACUUCGUG